AUUGAACGCUGGCGGCAGGCCUAACACAUGCAAGUCGAAUGGUAACAGGAAACAGCUUGCUGUUUCGCUGACGAGUGGCGGACGGGUGAGUAAUGUCUGGGAAACUGCCUGAUGGAGGGGGAUAACUACUGGAAAUGGUAGCUAAUACCGCAUAACGUCGCAAGACCAAAGAGGGGGACCUUCGGGCCUCUUGCCAUCAGAUGUGCCCAGAUGGGAUUAGCUAGUAGGUGGGGUAACGGCUCACCUAGGCGACGAUCCCUAGCUGGUCUGAGAGGAUGACCAGCCACACUGGAACUGAGACACGGUCCAGACUCCUACGGGAGGCAGCAGUGGGGAAUAUUGCACAAUGGGCGCAAGCCUGAUGCAGCCAUGCCGCGUGUAUGAAGAAGGCCUUCGGGUUGUAAAGUACUUUCAGCGGGGAGGAAGGGAGUAAAGUUAAUACCUUUGCUCAUUGACGUUACCCGCAGAAGAAGCACCGGCUAACUCCGUG
rnacentral:rRNA from 1 species